UUAUAAGCAAAUUUUGAUUUUUUUAAGUUCAUUCAAUUAAUGAUGUAUAUGUUCCAUAAUAUAGAUCACAUACAUCAUUAAUUGAAUGAACUUAAAAAAUUAAAAUUUGCUUAUAA
rfam:Medicago truncatula strain A17 chromosome 8, whole genome shotgun sequence.